CUCCCAUAGGCUCUCAGAAGGCGCCAGAACGUUGAAUGAUGACUCUGCAGUUACUGGCUGAAAAACAGUAGCGCAUUUGUCCCUUUCAGCAGGAUCGCAAUGGAACUGGUGGGACCUAUACCCAAGAGCAACCGAGGGCACCAAUACAUCCUGGUGAUUCUGGAUUAUGCCACCAGGUACCCGGAAGCCAUUCCUCUGCACAGCAUGGCCACCAAGGGAAUCGCACAUGAGUUAGUCAUGCUGUUCUCCCGAGUAGGCAUCCCCGACGAGAUAUCGACCAACCAGGGCACCCCGUUCAUGUCGCGAAUCAUGAAGGAUCUAUGCAAACUAAUGAAAAUAACCCAGUUGCGCACCUCAGUCUAUCAUCCGCAGACCGAUGGGUCGGUGGAAAGAUUUAAUUGAAGUCUGAAGCAGAUGCUAAAGAAGGUGAUGGAGGCAGACGGAAAGAAUUGGGAUCAGCUGCUACCCUACCUGAUGUUCUCGAUCUGAGAACUGCCCCAAGCUUCCAGAGGAUUCUCUCCCUUCAAACUCCUGUACGGGAGAUGACCCCGAGGACUGCUGGACGUGGCUAAAGAAGCCUGGGAACAGCAACCGUCUCCCCACCGAACCAUGGUGGAGCAUGUGGAAGACAUGAGAGACCGGCUGGCAACCCUGUGUCCCCUGGUACAGGGACACAUGCUGGAGGCCCAGGAGGCCCAAGUGCGGGUGUACAACAGAGGGCCACAAUGAAGGUACUUCCAGCCAGGAGACAAAGUGUUGGUUUUGGUCCCCACCUCAGAAUGUACGUUUUUGGCCCGAUGGAAUGGGCCAUACGAAGUCCAUGAGAAGGUGGGGGAAAUUAACUAUAGGGUCAGACAGCCGGGACGUAGGCAUCUGACCCAGAUUUACCAUGUGAAUUUGCUAAAGAAAUGGAAUGCACGUGAUGUACUCUACUCUAUUUCCCCGAAGAAGGCUACCACAGAGACCAAGCCGGCGGAGGUGCCACUGGGGGAGCAGCUGAGCCAAGCACAGAAGCAGCAACUGAGAGAGUUGGUCAGCCGGAACAAGGAUGUGUUCUCCAGUGAACAAGGAUGUGUUCUCCAGUGAACAAGGACACACCGAUCUGGUAAAGCACAUCAUCAUCACCAAACCAGGGAAAAAGGUGAAGUUGAGACCUUACCGAAUACCGGAGGCAAGAAAAGAGGCUGUCAGGACCGAGGUAAAAACAAUGUUAAAAAUUGAUAUAAUCGAAGAGUCGAAUAGUGAGUGGUGCUCCCCCUUAGUGUUGGUGCCGAAACCAGAUGGCACCAUUCGCUUCUGUAAUAGUUUUAGAAAGGUAAAUGAAAUAUCAAAUUUCGACUCCUAUCCCAUGCCCCGAAUUGAUGAAUUAAUCGAACGGCUAUGGACCGCCCAAUUUAUCAGCAGGCUUGACCUGACGAGGGGUUAUUGGCAGGUGCCCUUAGCUCCCAAGGCACGGGAGAAAACUGCUUUUGCCACCCCUGACUGGCUGUUCCAUUACAAGAAGCUGCCCUUUGGGCUGCACGGGGCCCCGGCCACCUUUCAGAGUUUGAUGGACUGGAUUCUCCGUCCCCAUGAUCAGGUGGAGCCCAUGGAAAUGCCGAUGCCCUCUCCAGGAGGGAUGCUCUAGGGAGAGAGUGGUUAUUGAAGGGAGAUAUCUUGUAGCCUGCUGGCUCCACCCCCAAGCCUUAUAUGGACGUCCUGCCCCAACGAGGCGAGCCUGGGGUCAUUAAGCCAGGGAGUACUUGGGGAUAAAAGAGGAAGCGACCUGCACAAAGGAGCAGAGAACGGAGAGUGAAGAGUGUGUUAUGAAGAGUGUGUUAUGAAGAGAGAGAAAUAUCUGUGUGAUUACCUGUUGUGACCUGGACUGUCUGAUUACCCCCACUGUGUACCAAACCGGUUUGGCUGAGGACCCGAGUUUUAGGAUUACCCCUGGAGAACGGAACGGACAACGAGAAUGGAUUGUGGACUGUGAAAUGGUUGGUGAAUUCCCCCCUUUUCCGCAGUGUGCAAAACUCCCUAAUAAACUUCCCAUUUG
rnacentral:lncRNA from 1 species